rnacentral:rRNA from 1 species
GGUCCUACGGGACGCAGCAGUGAGGAGUAUUGGUCAAUGGACGCAAGUCUGAACCAGCCAAGUAGCGUGCAGGAUGACGGCCCUCCGGGUUGUAAACUGCUUUUAGUUGGGAAUAAAAGGGGGCUCGUGAGCCCCGUAUUGUAUGUACCAUCAGAAAAAGGACCGGCUAAUUCCGUGCCAGCAGCCGCGGUAAUACGGAAGGUCCGGGCGUUAUCCGGGUUUAUUGGGGUUAAAGGGAGCGUAGGCCGGCUCUUAAGUCAGCUGUGAAAGU